rnacentral:rRNA from 1 species
UACGUAGGGUGCAAGCGUUUAAUCGGAAUUACUGGGCGUAAAGCGUGCGCAGGCGGUUUUGUAAGUUUGUCGUGAAAGCCCCGGGCUCAACCUGGGAAUGGCGAUGAAGACUGCAAGGCUUGAAUCUGGCAGAGGGGGGUAGAAUUCCACGUGUAGCAGUGAAAUGCGUAGAGAUGUGGAGGAACACCGAUGGCGAAGGCAGCCCCCUGGGACCUGACUGACGCUCGAUGCACGAAAGCGUGGGGAGCAAACAGG